UAAAACAUGCUUCAGAAGAACUGGCACCCCUUGGAAAGAAAUAGCAACAAAUAAUGAUAAAUGCACCUCCUCCUCUUGCCUUUUGCCUUCCAGUUUCUCUCCUGCCUCUCAUCUUUCUAUGCAUUUGUGGUUAUCCUAAGGCUUUGACCAGCUUCCCAGGCUGGAGAAGUCCAUGUGUGCAUGCAUCUACUGUUGGCCACAGAAAAGUCUUAAUUUAUUUUUCUUUGCAGGGUAUGUUGACUUCUCUUUGGGCACUGAGUCCUUGCAUUUUAAAAAUCAACUUCAUUGAAGUAUAAUUUACACAAUAAAAUGCACACAUUGUAAGUGUGUAGUUUGAUGAGCUUGGACAAAUGUCUAUACCUGUGUAAUCAUUACUCUAGAAAGCUCACUCAUGCCCAUUGCCCUUGCAUUUUUGAAAAAUAAUUGAUGCUUCUUGUGCAAGAAGAAGUGCUCAGGAACUCUAUUCAAGUGUUUAAAAGUCAACACAUAGAUUGGACAUUGGGAUACCUGGAGGCUUUGAAGCAAGAUACCGGGACUCUGAGUUCUGUUUGGAAAUAUUGGUGUCAUAUAUUUGUCAUUGUAAUUGGAAAGAAAAGAGAUGCACCAUUUUCUUCUUGUUCUUUGGAUAAGCUAAGCUCAUUCCCAUCUUGGAGCUGUUGCACUGGCCCUUGUGUGGCUGGUCCCUCCUCAUCACCAGGGUCCCAGCUCCAAUGUCAUCUUCUCUGAGAAGCCGUCCCUGACCAGGCUUAGUUGCUUCCCACCCCAGCCUGACACACUCCAGCCCAUCACCCAGUCAGUGUUAUUUGCUUCAUUUUUACAUUAUGGUCUAAAAUUAACUUGCUAGUUUACUGGUUUACUAGUUUAUUAUCUGUCUCCUUCCAUUAUCCCUCUCCUUCCCUCCUUCCCUUCCCCUUCCUUCCUUCCUUCCUUCCUUCCUUCGAGACACAGUCGUACUCUGUCACCCCGGCUGGAGUGCAGUGGUGUGAUCUUGCCUCACUACAACCCCUGCCUCCUGGGUUUUAGCGAUUCUUCUGCCUCAGCCUCCCGAGUAGCUGGGACUACAGGCACCCACCAUGAUGCCAGGCUAAUUUUUGUAUUUUUAUUGGAGACAGGGUUUCACCAUGUUGGCCAGGCUGGUCUCGAACUCUUGACCUCAAGUGAUCCACCUGUCUCGGCCUCCCAAAGUGCUGGGAUUACAGGCAUGAGCCACUGCACCUGGCCCUUUUAUUAUUCAUAGUAAGACACACAGGGACCACAAUUGUCUCUUCUACUCAGUAGUUGGAUUCUGAGUGCCUAGUUCAGUAUUUGGCAAGUAAGAGUUCUGCAUUUGAUAUCCUGGUUUACCUGGCACAACAAAGUAUCUCCAAAUUCAUUCAUUCAUUCUUUCAUUCAUUCGAUAGGUAUUUACUGAACAUCUAACUUAUGCCCAACACUGUGCUGAGAGAUAUGAGAUAACCAUGAAUAGUACAAAAGCAAUCCCUGCCCUUGAAGAGCAAACAGCCAAAUAUCAGGAGACAGGUAACACACAAGGAAAUGUACAAGAAAGUUGAGCCAGCACUUUUAUAAGUACUGGUUCUAGUACUAGCUUUCAUAAGAAAGUACUGGUUCUAGUACUAGCUUUCAGUACUCUCUUGUGAAAUUUUCAAUAUUCAGUCAUUUCAACCUCAAAAAUGGCAACAUAAUUAUGUUUCAACAUAAUUGUUGUUUUAAACAAACAAUUUUGUUUCAACAUAAUUCUCCUGAACUGGGUGGAAGGCUAUCAAGAAAAAGCUUAGCUUCUUCUUCAGGUAACUGCAAGAGACAGGGUUCUCUAGAGAAACAGAACAAAUAUACAAAGAGAUUCAUUAUAAGGAAUUGGAAGUCCAAAAUCUCCAGAGCCUCUGUACUUGUACAAGUCUGAAGGCCGACAGGCAGGAGAAUUCUCUCUUUUUGGGGCAAAGGUCAGUGUUUUGUUCUAUCCAGGCUUUCAGAUGAUUGGUUGAGGCUCACUCACAUUAGAAGGGCAAUCUGUCUUACUGCCAUUAGAAUGCAACCUGUUUUACUUAGCUUACUGAUUUCAAUGUUAAUCUAUUUCAAGAGCACCCUCACAGAAACACCCAGAAUAAUGUUUGAUGAAAUAUCUGGGCACCCUGUGACCCAGUCAAGUUGACACAUGACACUAACCAUCACAGUACGCUUAGGGUCUUGUCACUCGGAGUGUGGCCUGUGAACCAGCAGCAUUUUUAUCUUCUGGGAGCUUGGGCACGAUCUCAGGCCCCACCUCCUGCUUAUUGAUUCAGAAUCUGCAUUUUAACAAGAUCCCCAGGUGAUCUGGAUGCACCGUAACAUCUGAGAAGCACUCAAACUAUGUGCCGCAAACAAACGCCAAAUUCUUAGGCAUUUGUGUGGCUUGGAGCACAUAGUUGGUUCUUUCUACUGUCUAAUUCAUUACAUUUUUUCAGCACAUUCCUGUCUAUAAAAUGUUUUUUUGUAUGCACCCCAAUAUAUGCACAUUUAUAAGCAUAUGCAUGAACCCACGAACAAUGAUUAGGUACAUUAUGAAGCAUACGUAAGGACAGAAAUUUCAAACCAAGCUUGAGGGUGAAAUAAAUAUUAUUUGAAAACCUGUUGCUAAUUGUGAUGACUUCAUACUAUCAUUAGUUACUAUCUCAAUGCAUAAUGUACAGUGACGGGUGAAGUUUAUCAUUAAUAAAAAAAAUCUGGAUUUUAACC
rnacentral:lncRNA from 1 species